AUCUGUCUCAGAAAAAUAUUAAAUUGCUUAUGACCUCCUGGGCUCAUGUCCAGCCAUCUCAUGCCUCGGCGACUUCACUAGUAAACUCUAUAAAACAUUUGUAAAAUAAACAACGCCACGUGCACACAUUGUCUUCUAGAAAGCGGGGAAGGAGAGAUUUCUGGGCCAUUGUGUAAAGACGAUGCUGUCUUGAUGCAAACCAGACAGUGGCACAGGUGAGCUGCAGCUCGAUGUCUGUCCCGAACACAGAUUUUAAAUAAUCAUCAAAUAUUAGCAAUUGGAAAAGUGUAAAUAGUGUUCACCAUGAUCAAGACAGACUCGUGCCAGGAGUGCCACAUGAUGCCAGCAUUUGAAGGUCAGUCUAAGUGACCACUGUGGCAACACUCUACAUGUCAAAAAUGACACAACCCUGUCAACUCAUUCGACAGAAUCCAAUUCCAUGUCUGGGGAAAGCUCUGUAAACUAGGAAUCACCUCCAUUGCAUUAAGGCCGACCUCAAAAAGCCAACUUCACGCUGUGGGUGCCGGGUGCUUCUUGGAGAUGAACAGAGAAAGCUGUCCACUCUUGCCCAGAUGCUCACCUCUCACUGACAAUCCUAGCCAGCAAGUUAGCAAGGGAAGGGCAACAAACCCCCCCCCCCAUCAGAACGGGGGAAAUAGACCCUCCCUGUUUGCAAAUUACACAAUAGAGCUGUAGCGGGGGGGGGGGGAUUCCUUAAAUGUUAGCAACGUGUCAUCCUGGGUUGUUUCCUUGCUCGUAUGAUUUUUAAUUGUUAAGUUGGUCAUGGGGACACAUACUUAUAAUCCCAGCCCUUGGAGGCAGGAAGAUAGAGAAUUGGAGACCAGCUUGGUUACAGACCAGCAUGGGACCAAGAGCAAACCCUGGUUUAAUAAGCUUCCCUGAGUAGGAUGGCUGGGUUGACAAGUCACUCACACUGUCUCAUUUAGCAACUUUUAUUUAGUGUGUGUUGUGUAUGUAGAAUUCAAACAUGAGCUUUCACCAGACAUGGUAUUGAAUUCUGUCGGAUGAGUUGACAGGGCCGUGUCAUUUUUGGCAUGCACAGUGUUAGCACAGUUGUCACUUUUUAUCGGCCUGCACUCAAUCUUGUCCUGGGCGGUGUGAUACCCCAUCUUCUUGGGGCCUCUGCUCUGGACCUCCUGGUCUGCAGGCAAACCUCCUGGUGAGCAAACAAGACUAUCCCUUGAGUUAACACAGGGGGGUGCUAGAGGAUGGUUCCUGCACUUGCCUUCCUUCUAAAUGGAUAGCUAACACUAUUAACUAUGUCAAUAGCGCUCAGUGCAUUCAGACCAUUUUUUAGAUUAUCUUCGGAUCUGCCGAAGGGUGAGGGGGUGUCUGGAAAGCUCUAAGACUUGAGCACAGGGCCAGCCACCUUUUUAUCUGGGACUUUACUUCCAGGGCGCUAAUCAAGCUCUAGGGUUUCCUUUCUCUUGUCUGUUAGCAUCCUUGCCACCGCUUUGAUGUCACGGACCUAUUCUGAUGUCAUAGUCUAGUGACAGAAUCUUCUCACCAGCCUAGAUUCUGUCCUUAGAGAGAGCAGGCAGGCAGCAGGGCAGGGCUGGGGCAGGGGUGGCUGGUGGCCCUGGGGGCCUACCUUAAAGAACAUCUGCCAGCCUACCCUCCUUCUACUCCGGGAUGAACAUCCUCUAAAAGUCCACUGAGUCCAAUUACCGCUGCCUGAAUGAAGAUCAGCAACCUUCCCGUGGCCACAUCCCCACAGAAAAAGGUCUCCUCCUCCCUCAGCAGCCAUUGGCUGCCAAUCAUCUUAAUGAUCUUUAAACAUACAAGCUCAGUGGAUUAACUACGUUAAUAUCUUGGGAGCUCCCGUUUCCACUCACCCCCAGAAUUUGUUCUAUCUUGAAAAAUCUAUGCUCAUUAAGUAA
rnacentral:sRNA from 1 species